ensembl:lncRNA
CCCUGUUUGAAAGUAUGUUCCAGAAUAAUAACACCUCACCUGACAUUACAAAUCCUCAGUUCUCCUCCCAAAAAUGUCUCAUUUCAUUCUUUCUUCCUUCCGAAAAUACUGUACUUCUCAUCUUUUGUGACAACUGAUGCCUCCUCUCCUUCAGUGUGCCAUUCACAUUAAGGCCUUGAUCACACCGUCAGUGUUUUCUGCGCAAAAUGUUACGCAGCGUCAUCUGGAUGUGUGCAACAACAGUUUGACGCAUACGUCAAUCAGGCAAACGUAGCGUUCCGUUGGAAAUGAAUAUUUUUCUGGUGUACCAAAAUGCAAUAUAGCUGUCAGUACGAUCAAGGUGUUAUUCAGUCAGGCCAGAACACUGAGGUAUAAUAAGAACUGCCAGAGUCCAUCGAAGAACAGGAAGUUACCAAACCACAGAAGAAGAUAAAAUGUGGUUUUCGACGAUGGGUUAAUAGGAUAGCUAUCAACUUGUAAACAAUUACCCAUUCCUUUAGGUGUAGGUCGCUAGCUACAGUAUAGCCUAAUGACAUCAUCAAGUUUGCUGACAACACGACAGUAGUAGGCCCGAUUACCAUCAAUGACGAAAGGACCUACAGGGAGGAGGUAGGCACUCUGACGGCGUCAUGUCAGGUAAAUAACCUCUCCCUCAACGUCAACCAAAACAAAGGAGCUGAUUGUGGACUUUAGGAGGAACCAGGCUGGGCAAUCCCCCCUCAGGAGGCUGAAGAAAUUUGGCCUGUCCCCUAGGGCCCUUAGGGUUCUAUAGGAGCACCAUAGAGAGCAUACUGUCGGACUGCAUCACAGCCUGGUAGGGCAACUCCACCACCGCUGACCACAAGGCUCUACAGAGGGUGGUGCACCCAAAGGUGCGUUCGGCUGAGCAUACCACUCUCUGUAAAACUUCCUGCCCUCCAGGACUCCUACAACACCAGACGUCGCAGGAAGGCCAAGGAGAUCAUCAAGGACCUCAGCCACCCAAGCCACGGCCUGUUCUCCCCGCUUCCAUCACUCAGACGCAGGCAGUAUAGAAGCAUCUGUAACGGCAUUCAGAGGUGGAAGAAGGAGAGGACCAAAGCGCAGCGUGGUUAGUGUUCAUCUUAUUUAAUAAUAAUCCAAACCGAACACUUCAAAUUACAAAACAACAAAGUGAAAACCGAAACAGUUCUGUCUGGUGCAGACACACAAAGACUGAAAAUAACUACCCACAAAACACAAAAGGAAAACAGGCUACCUAAAUAUGGUUCUCAAUCAGGGACAACGAUUGACAGCUACCUCUGAUUGAGAACCAUAUCAGGCCAAA